AGCAGUUUGGAUUCACACGGUAUCACCACAAUAAAUAUACUAGGAGACAAAACUUCUAAGACAACAAAGGGAAUACAUGACGAAUCGAACCUUCCAUUUCCAGUUUAUGUUAUAAUUAUAAUACCCUGUAUGUGUGUAGCAGAAGUAGGCAUCAUUCUUAUUAUUGUGAUUAAAUGCCUUAUAAAGAGAAGACGUGAAGGUUCACCGAGGAACAUCCAUGAACAAGAAGCGUUAAAAGCCAAUGAUUCCUCACUUGCAAUUGGAAGAAAUGAAAACAAAAAAACUUAUUUGAGAGAAGCAUUAUUGUGCUGAUAAAAAAACUAUCUUGAAAAUAAUAAGGUCCUUAUUGACUUCAUUACUCCGAAAUUUUAAAGACAAUUUGA